CUGAGUCUGACGCCACUCGGGGCGCCGGAGCCGGGGAACCAACCACAUCUGGGGUGAAUCCCGCACGAGGUGCGACCUCGAAGAUCCUGACCGGAUCGACGAGGGCCGCGAGGAGUGCGGGUAGGGCAAGUCGUGCCCGAAUCCGUCAGCUCACCCGGUAGGCGUACGACACGAAGGGGA
rnacentral:sRNA from 2 species